rnacentral:rRNA from 1 species
GCUUUUGUAGCAAUACGAGAGUAUCCUAGUGGCGAACGGGUGAGUAACGCGUUGGUGACCUACCCCAAAGUGUGGAAUAACAGUCCGAAAGGAUUGCUAAUACCGCAUGUGGUUAUCGGGCUUAGAAACUGAUAACUAAAGGAGCAAUUCGCUUUGGGAGGGACCUGCGUCCCAUCAGCUAGUUGGUGAGGUAACGGCUCACCAAGGCUACGACGGGUAGGGGACCUGAGAGGGUGACCCCCCACAAUGGAACUGAAACACGGUCCAUACACCUACGGGUGGCAGCAGUAGGGAAUAUUGCACAAUGGGCGAAAGCCUGAUGCAGCAACGCCGCGUGUGCGAUGAAGGCCUUCGGGUCGUAAAGCACUUUUCUGAGAGAUGAGAAAGGACAGUAUCUCAGGAAUAAGUCUCGGCUAACUACGUGCCAGCAGCCGCGGUAAAACGUAGGAGGCGAGCGUUAUCCGGAUUCACUGGGCGUAAAGCGCGUGCAGGUGGUUCGGUAAGUUGGGCGUGAAAUCUACCCGGCUCAACUGGGAGAGGUCGUCCAAGACUACCGAACUUGAGAGCAGAAGAGGAAGAUGGAAUUCCCGGUGUAGUGGUGAAAUGCGUAGAUAUCGGGAGGAACACCAGUGGCGAAGGCGAUCUUCUGGUCUGUUUCUGACACUCAGACGCGACAGCUAGGGUAGUAAACGGGAUUAGA